rnacentral:rRNA from 1 species
AUUGAACGCUGGCGGCAGGCUUAACACAUGCAAGUCGAGCGGAGAGAGGUAGCUUGCUACUGAUCUUAGCGGCGGACGGGUGAGUAAUGCUUAGGAAUCUGCCUAUUAGUGGGGGACAACAUUUCGAAGGGAAUGCUAAUACCGCAUACGUCCUACGGGAGAAAGCAGGGGAUCUUCGGACCUUGCGCUAAUAGAUGAGCCUAAGUCGGAUUAGCUAGUUGGUGGGGUAAAGGCCUACCAAGGCGACGAUCUGUAGCGGGUCUGAGAGGAUGAUCCGCCACACUGGGACUGAGACACGGCCCAGACUCCUACGGGAGGCAGCAGUGGGGAAUAUUGGACAAUGGGCGGAAGCCUGAUCCAGCCAUGCCGCGUGUGUGAAGAAGGCCUUAUGGCUGUAAAGCACUUUAAGCGAGGAGGAGGCUACUUUAGUUAAUACCUAGAGAUAGUGGACGUUACUCGCAGAAUAAGCACCGGCUAACUCUGUGCCAGCCGCCGCAGUAACAC